GGCAUUUGAGCUUGUUACUGGUGAUUCCUUAUUUGAACCAAAAGCAGGGCCGAAUUUCUCCUUAGAGGAAGACCACCUGGCUCAUAUUAUUGAGCUCUUGGGUAUGAUCCCAGUGUCAGUGGCUCUGUCUGGGAAAUAUUCCUAUGAGUAUUUCAACCACAAGGGUGACCUGCGGCGAAUAGCC